rnacentral:rRNA from 1 species
GACGAACGCUGGCGGCGUGCCUAAUACAUGCAAGUUGAGCGCUGAAGGUUGGUACUUGUACCAACUGGAUGAGCAGCGAACGGGUGAGUAACGCGUGGGGAAUCUGCCUUUGAGCGGGGGACAACAUUUGGAAACGAAUGCUAAUACCGCAUAAAAACUUUAAACACAAGUUUUAAGUUUGAAAGAUGCAAUUGCAUCACUCAAAGAUGAUCCCGCGUUGUAUUAGCUAGUUGGUGAGGUAAAGGCUCACCAAGGCGAUGAUACAUAGCCGACCUGAGAGGGUGAUCGGCCACAUUGGGACUGAGACACGGCCCAAACUCCUACGGGAGGCGGCAGUAGGGAAUCUUCGGCAAUGGACGAAAGUCUGACCGAGCAACGCCGCGUGAGUGAAGAAGGUUUUCGGAUCGUAAAACUCUGUUGGUAGAGAAGAACGUUGGUGAGAGUGGAAAGCUCAUCAAGUGACGGUAACUACCCAGAAAGGGACGGCUAACUACGUG